GUAAAAAGGUCUCUAAUUAUUUGGAGAAGUUUCCUCGUAUCAGUAAUUUUCAGGAAACAGCGCGGGCAUUACAGAUUGUUGUAAAUCAGUUUUAAAAUAUAAACAGGUUUAAAAGUUGAGUUAGUAGAGAAGAUCUACUAAUAACGUAAUAAAGGAUACACAAAGAAUAAUAAAAACUACAGUUACUCACUAAAAGUACUUAAGGUGUAAGUAC